GACGAACGCUGGCGGCGUGCUUAACACAUGCAAGUCGAACGGAAAGGCCCUGCUUUUGUGGGGUGCUCGAGUGGCGAACGGGUGAGUAACACGUGAGUAACCUGCCCUUGACUUUGGGAUAACUUCAGGAAACUGGGGCUAAUACCGGAUAGGAGCUCCUGCUGCAUGGUGGGGGUUGGAAAGUUUCGGCGGUUGGGGAUGGACUCGCGGCUUAUCAGCUUGUUGGUGGGGUAGUGGCUUACCAAGGCUUUGACGGGUAGCCGGCCUGAGAGGGUGACCGGCCACAUUGGGACUGAGAUACGGCCCAGACUACUACGGGAGGCAGCAGUGGGGAAUAUGGCACAAUGGGCGGAAGCCUGAUGCAGCAACGCCGCGUGCGGGAUGACGGCCUUCGGGUUGUAAACCGCUUUCGCCUGUGACGAAGCGUGAGUGACGGUAAUGGGUAAAGAAGCACCGGCUAACUACGUG
rnacentral:rRNA from 1 species